AAGCUCGUAGUUGAAUUUCGGGGUUCUACCGUUGGUCGGGCAAUAGUCUGUACUGGCGUGUAGAAUUUCUACCUUCUGGGGAACCAUCAUGUUAUUUAUUUAGCGUGGUGGGAAACCAGGACCUUUACCUUGAAAAAAUUAGAGUGUUCAAAGCAGGCUUACGUCUGAAUACAUUAGCAUGGAAUAAUAAAAUAGGUCGGUGGUCCUGUUUUGUUGGUUUCUGAAUCACCGUAAUGAUUAAAGGGAUAGUUGGG
rnacentral:rRNA from 1 species